CUUCUUUCAUUUCUCUCUUUCGUGUGUUUCGUCUUCAGAUACCUGAAUUUUCGUUUUCUUCUUCGGUUUCUCAGUUCAUCGAGUAUAUUUUUUCCUGCCACGCUUCAGCAGCUCGGUGUUUUGAGGUAGAGCUCAGGCCUAUCAAGCUUCAUUUGAUUCCGGAAGUGAGGCGAAGAUGUACUGAGAGGAAAGGUGGGAAUCUCAUGGAGCUUCCGUGUGGUUUAACACAGUACAGUGGUUGGGAAGCCACAAGCUGCUCACUCGGAGAAAGACCCAAAGAUAUCAAUGUUCAAGGAAGGAGAUGAAUGUUUCACAGUUUAAGUUGGAGCUUCAGGCUUUGAAAGCAGUGGAAGGAGAAGAGCCCCCAACUUGAAUUCAAGGCUUAAGGGUGUUUGGAGUCAUAAGCCUGUGAUUAAAUGUACACGUCCUCUAUCUACUGCCUCUUCUUCAAUGUCCAAAUAUGUUUAUGCUUUAUGUUCUUGUUAUGUAUGGAAUGAUAAAAAACUUGUGAC